GUAAAUUCGUUCAAAAUUGAAACAGGGAGGCAACAUGUCGAAAGUGGUUUGCUGUAGGACCUCAGGUUUAGUAGUGAUUAUAAUUAUGCUCUUUGAGGUUUAGGUCUACAUUACUACAGUAGAAUCCGUUUAUUAUGACUUCGCCUACAUAGUGAUUAUAAUGAAUAAUGAUAUUUAUGCACAAGCUUACAUAUUCUAGUGAGUUGUGAAUAAAAUGACAUUAGAACGGUGCAAAGCAUUUACAAUUGAAGAGAAAGGUAUAAUAAUACGCAGGCUAGAAAAUGGAGAAUCGAAUUCAUCUCUCGCAAAAGAAUUUGGGGUCGGUCAUUCAACAUUAUCAAUGAUUUUUAAAUAAAAGAACCAGAUUAAAGAAGCCUGUUCAAACGUGCUGAAACGAGAAUUGGCUUCGAAAAUCACGCCAGGAAAAUGUUGAUCAAGCGUUACUUCAGUGGUUUAAAAACACAAGCAAAAACACAAGAAACAAAGGAAUACCUUUCAGUGGCCCUAUGUUGCAGGAAGAAGCAAAAGUUUUGGUAUCCUCAACUUUAACUGUUCUGCGAGCUGGAUAAUAAACAACUCGAAAGCAAUGAGGAAGAGGAAGUCAAAGAAGUUUCUGUACCUACCGUAGAAGAGGCUUUAAAGGCUGCAGACUUGUUGUCAAGAUUUGUUCACAGCACUAUUGAAAGUGAUGAUACGGAGGGCCACAUAUCAGAUUUCUCAAUGGGCGGCUUUGUGUCUUCAACAACGUGGUGGCCAUUUUGAAAACUUGAUGUAAUUUAUUAAAAUUUGCUUUAUGUUACAA